GGACAAGUGCAACGAGUCUGCAUUGAUAGGAUGCCAGGUGGGAAAUGAGAGUCCUGUGGAGCAGAGAGCAAACAGGAGCAGAAAAGCGCAAUUCUUAUAAUCUUUGUACUAAUUCUGAGAAGAAGGCAAGAACACAGCACAAAGUCUUUGAAGUCCCUGCUGCUACCACAAGGAUCAGAGCAGCACACAACGUAUGGAGUGAUGGAGCACACAGAGCCGGUGUAUGCUGGCUGGUAGAGGGGGAAAGGCAACCUGCAAGCACUGUGUUCCCUUUUCUGUAGGGUAAUGCACGCGUGUGUAUAUGUGAAAGAAGUUUGACCGUCACCAACCUAUUUCCGUAUUGCUAAAAUAAGCACAGAGAAAUGAAAUGCAAGUCAUUUUUCAGCUGUGCCUUUCUGUGCUGACCAACCUGGCUGGAUGAUGCUGUUCUACAUCAAAUGGAUUUACAGCAGAAGCUUCCCCCUCUAAUUCCUAGCUCCACUCGCAAUAAAUACUUCUUUUUUUCCUUUCCUUAAGAAAUUUCAGCAGUCAGCUCAACUGCUGGAACAAAGAACAGCUGCUGCAGAUACUGGACUUCCCACAGCACAAUUGCUUCUACCCGAGCAGGAACUAACACAAAUAUUCCUCCUUUAAGGAAGAUGCACGUUUACUUAUUUAUUUGCCCUUCUCAAAACUUUACCUAUACUUGAAACUGAGGGUCAGCUGAAAAAAGGAAUCCCACACUUUUCCCUUCCUCUCAGCUGUGGGAAAACACGUGCAGCUGAACUUAUGGUUGACUCCUGGACAAAUGUGUCCCUUCUGUUUCCUGCUGUGGUGCUGCGGUCUCUCAUGCAGUUCUUCAUAUUACUCCACAGAGCUACAGAAGCAACACCCUCCUCCUCCUUCUCCAGUGCAAUUCAUUCGCAUACCAUGCAGGCUGCAAAGCCCUGCUCAGAUCAUCCAGCUGUGACACUUCCACAGCGCUGUGCUUCAUCAGCUCUGAGAGCCCUGGUAAAAAUAGUACUUAAUAUUGUGAGAGCUGUGCUUUCAAGUGAGUGUGCACGGAGGUGGAAGCAGGUGUUACUUCUCACUGGAGCCCUUUCCCUGAGCUAAAGCAGCAGCAGCCAGCUGAAGGAACCCAGCUGGUGGGGGUUAAGUGGCUGCUGCCCUCCACUGCUCAUUCUUCUCAUCCCUGGGGAGGUUAUUGUGCUUUUCAAGAAAAAGGAAAUAAACAACCGCCAAAAAAAAAGCAGUUCUCUGAUCUGUUUCAGAUCUGUCAGAUGAGUAAACGGACGGGAAGAGAGGUGUGUUAUCC
ensembl:lncRNA